AUGCCGCACGCCGCCCAUCCCGAAGACAUAAUUGCGGAGUUGACUUCCAAGGUUGAAAGAAUAUUUCACGAAGUAGGCACUCCUCUUCCUUUAGAGGAAGGUGAAUCUGCACGAUCGUUCACUGAAAAUCAUGUAUUGUGGAAUAGUGAGGGAGGAGAUACUCUUCAACAAAUCUUCUCCGAUUAUACAGAAGCCGGGGACGCAAGCGAAUUCGUCGCAAUAGCCACCAAUCUGGCGAAGCGGUUUCGCCACGCUGAGCUCGGUGAACCGGAUUCUCCCGACCCCGAUGCGCCUUUGGAAGAGCAGGAGGCUCAUUCCACAGGAUCCCCUGGAAGCACAAAAGAAAAUGAUGGGGCGAACGAGGUAGGACCGUCUUCUUUGCGGAAGCGUAAAAGGUGGGAUGAUGAUUCGGGGUCCAAAGAUGAUGAUUCGGGGGGCCCCAGGGAAUCUCUAGAUCUAGUGGAAAUCGUUUACGAAGGGGAUGCACAAGGGUACAACUGGGAGGGGAAUUAG
rnacentral:rRNA from 1 species